UAGGGAAUCUUCGGCAAUGGGGGGAACCCUGACCGAGCAACGCCGCGCGAGUGAAGAAGGUUUUCGGAUCGUAAAGCUCUGUUGUUAAGGAAGAACGAGUGUGCGAAUGGAAAGUUCAUACUGUGACGGUACUUAACCCGAAAGGGACGGCUAACUACGUGCCAGCAGCCGCGGUAAUACGUAGGUCCCGAGCGUCGUCCGGAUUUAUUGGGCGUAAAGCGGGCGCAGGCGGUUAGAUAAGUCUGAAGUUAAAGGCAGUGGCUCAACCAUUGUAGGCUUUGGAAACUGUUUAACUUGAGUGCAGAAGGGGAGAGUGGAAUUCCAUGUGUAGCGGGGAAAUGCGUAGAUAGAUGGAGGAACACCGGUGGCGAAAGCGGGUCUCUGGUCUGUAACUGACGCAGAGGCUCGAAAGCGGGGGGAGCGAACAGG
rnacentral:rRNA from 1 species